rnacentral:rRNA from 1 species
GACGAACGCUGGCGGCGUGCCUAAUACAUGCAAGUCGAACGCACGCUCGAUUAGAUUGCAUGAGUUUGCUUCGGGUCGAAAAAGAUAUUAGUGCGUGGAGGACCGGUGAGUAACACGUGGGUAACUUGCGGUAAAGUGGGGUAAAACCUUUGGAAAUAGAGAAUAAUAUGGCUUAAAAGCUAAAACCGCAUGGGGUAGCGCUGAAAGAUGGUUUCGGCUAUCAUUUUCGGAUGGAUCCGCGCUGCAUUAGCUAGUUGGUAAGGUAAAGGCUCACCAAGGCAACGAUGCGUAGCCGACCUGAGAGGGUGAUCGGCCACACUGGAACUGAGACACGGUCCAGACUCCUACGGGAGGCAGCAGUAGGGAAUCUUCCGCAAUGGGCGAAAGCCUGAUGGAGCAACGCCGCGUGAGUGAUGAAGGUCUUCGGAUCGUAAAACUCUGUUAUUAGGGAAGAAUAUAUCUGUAAGUAACUGUGCACGUAUUGACGGUAUCUAAUCAGAAAGCCACGGCUAACUACGUG